AAUAAAAAUACCACAAAAGAGUUGCCACGUUUUCUGCUCUGCUGUAUCCUACCUACUUGGAAAUGGCCAGCCACAACACCUGCCUGUGCCCUUCCCUUAUCUCAGUAAUGGAUAAGAUCUGGGAUGAAAGUCACCCAGCUGAAACCUCUCCUGGAAAUUAAACAGUUUUGAGUAGAGCAUUCAACAGACCACUUCUUGAGAUAUAGGUAGAAUUUCUACUUAGGAUCGUUGGUAUCAAGACUUUUAUUCUGAUCCCACUGGUUUUCUUCUCAGGCUGUUAAAACAUCAUCUUUUUUCAAAGUCUUAGAAAUAUAAUUUUCAACAAGGCUGAUUUUUAGAGAGAAUAAAAGCAACGAGGUGCUCCAAAGGAAGGAGUGGUAAACGCUGUGUAGCAGGUUUUUAGGUGACUGCAUUAAAACCAGGAUUCAGUGGCCUAGAUUGCCCUCAAAAGACAACAAAGGCUGUGAUGUGAUGUCGAUCCCUCCAGCUCACCUUUCUUCUUGGGGGGUCUGUGCAGCUCCCCCUGGUCCCUCAGCUGGUGGAAAUUAUCUUGGAGUCUACAAACACUCAGCACCAUGACUGUCACUUUAUAAUUGUAAGUGCAAGGAGGCCUUUGCAAUUUUUUUAGCCUCUAUUUUGCGCUAGAUUCCAGGAGGAAGGAAAAUGUAAUGGCACAGGACCAGCCACAGAGAACUGACAAACCCCUGUGGUUUUAAAACAAGCAUUGACAGAAAAGGUGUCUACUGACUGGUGCAACUAGCUUUUCGGAUGUGAACUGGGGGAACUGGGAAGGUCUGUGGUUGCCUCUUGGAGCUGACUGGGGAAAUGUGGGGUGAAAGAGCCAAUAUGACUGCUCCAGUCUAGGACUGUUCUAUCUGCUGGCCUUCAGUAGGUGAGCUGAUGGAAGUAGUACAAUGGUCAUAAAUUGUAUUGUUUUCUAAACAAUAUGAAUCUCUGUUUUCUUUCUUAUUUUUUUUAAUCUUUGAGAAUAAAAGUAGGCUCCAAAACUCAGAA